GAUGAAGAACGCAGUGAAAUGCGAUAAGUAAUGUGAAUUGCAGAAUUCAGUGAAUCAUCGAAUCUUUGAACGCACAUUGCGCCCGCCAGUAUUCUGGCGGGCAUGUCUGUCCGAGCGUCAUUUCAACCCUCAAGCCCCCGGGCUUGGUGUUGGAGAUCGGCGAGCCCCCCGGGGCGCGCCGUCUCCCAAAUAUAGUGGCGGUCCCGCUGUAGCUUCCUCUGCGUAGUAGCACACCUCGCACUGGGAAACAGCGUGGCCACGCCGUAAAACCCCCCACUUCUGAAAGGUUGACCUCGGAUCAGGUAGGAAUACCCGCUGAACUUAAGCAUAUCAAUAAGCGGAGGA
rnacentral:misc_RNA from 1 species